rnacentral:rRNA from 1 species
UAGAUACCCUGGUAGUCCACGCAGUAAACGAUGAUUACUAGGAGUUUGCGAUAUAGUGUAAGCUCUACAGCGAAAGCGUUAAGUAAUCCACCUGGGGAGUACGCCGGCAACGGUGAAACUCAAAGGAAUUGACGGGGGCCCGCACAAGCGGAGGAACAUGUGGUUUAAUUCGAUGAUACGCGAGGAACCUUACCCGGGAUUGAAAUGUAGACGACGGAGAGUGAGAGCUUUCUUCCCUUUGGGGCGUCUA